CCUACGGGGGGCAGCAGUGAGGAAUAUUGGUCAAUGGACGAGAGUCUGAACCAGCCAAGUAGCGUGAAGGAUGACUGCCCUAUGGGUUGUAAACUUCUUUUAUAUGGGAAUAAAAUGUUCCACGUGUGGGAUUUUGUAUGUACCAUAUGAAUAAGGAUCGGCUAACUCCGUGCCAGCAGCCGCGGUAAUACGGAGGAUCCGAGCGUUAUCCGGAUUUAUUGGGUUUAAAGGGAGCGAAGGUGGAUUGUUAAGUCAGUUGUGAAAGUUUGCGGCUCAACCGUAAAAUUGCAGUUGAAACUGGCAGUCUUGAGUACAGUAGAGGUGGGCGGAAUUCGUGGUGUAGCGGUGAAAUGCUUAGAUAGCACGAAGAACUCCGAUUGCGAAGGCAGUUCACUGGACUGCAACUGACACUGAGGCUCGAAAGUGUGGGUAUCAAACAGGAUUAGAUACCCGAGUAGUC
rnacentral:rRNA from 1 species